rnacentral:rRNA from 1 species
CACGUAGGGCGCAAGCGUUGUCCGGAAUUAUUGGGCGUAAAGAGCUCGUAGGCGGUCUGUUGCGUCCGCUGUGAAAACCCGGGGCUUAACCCCUGGCUUGCAGUGGAUACGGACAGACUAGAGGUAGGUAGGGGAGAAUGGAAUUCCCGGUGUAGCGGUGAAAUGCGCAGAUAUCAGGAAGAACACCAACGGCGAAGGCAGCUCGCUGGGACGGUACUGACGCUGAGACGCGAAAGCGUGGGGAGCGAACAGG